rnacentral:rRNA from 1 species
GACGAACGCUGGCGGCGUGCUUAACACAUGCAAGUCGAACGGAAAGGCCCUGCUUUUGUGGGUUGCUCGAGUGGCGAACGGGUGAGUAACACGUGAGUAACCUCCCCUUGACUUUGGGAUAACUUCAGGAAACUGGGGCUAAUACCGGAUAGGAGCUCCUGCUGCAUGUUGGGGGUUGGAAAGUUUCGGCGGUUGGGGAUGGACUCGCGGCUUAUCAGCUUGUUGGUGGGGUAGUGGCUUACCAAGGCUUUGACGGGUAGCCGGCCUGAGAGGGUGAACGGCCACAUGGGGACUGAGAUACGGCCCAGACUCCUACGGGAGGCAGCAGUGGGGAAUAUUGCACAAUGGGCGGAAGCCUGAUGCAGAAACGCCGCGUGCGGGAUGACGGCCUUCGGGUUGUAAACCGCUGUCGCCGGUGACGAAGAGUGAGUGACGGUAAUGGGUAAAGAAGCAACGGCUAACUACGUG